rnacentral:rRNA from 1 species
UACAGAGGUCUCAAGCGUUGUUCGGAAUUACUGGGCGUAAAGGGUGCGUAGGCUGCAUGGUAAGUCAGAUGUGAAAUCCGUGGGCUCAACCCCCGAAUCGCAUCCGAAACUACCGAGCUAGAGGGCUGAAGAGGAGCUUGGAAUUCUCGGUGUAGCAGUGAAAUGCGUAGAUAUCGAAAAGAACGCUCGUGGCGAAAGCGAAGCUCUGGUCAGCAACUGACGCUGAGGCACGAAGGCUAGGGGAGCAAACGGG